GUGCUUGCUUUAGCAGCACAUACAUUGAAAUUGGAGUGAUAUGGAGAAGAUUAGCAUGGCCCCUACACAAAGAUAACGUGCAAGUUUGUGAAACAUUCCGUAUUUUU
rnacentral:snRNA from 1 species